GGUUAAGUGACUAAGCGUACACGGUGGAUGCCUAGGCAGUCAGAGGCGAUGAAGGGCGUGCUAAUCUGCGAAAAGCGUCGGUAAGGUGAUAUGAACCGUUAUAACCGGCGAUACCCGAAUGGGGAAACCCAGUGUGUUUCGACACACUAUCAUGUCAUGAAUACAUAGUGGCAUGAGGCGAACCGGGGGAACUGAAACAUCUAAGUACCCCGAGGAAAAGAAAUCAACCGAGAUUCCCCCAGUAGCGGCGAGCGAACGGGGAGGAGCCCAGAACCUGAAUCGGCUUGUGUGUUAGUGGAAGCGUCUGGAAAGUCGCGCAGUAAAGGGUGAUAGCCCCGUACACUAAAAUGCACAGGUCGUGAGUUCGAUGAGUAGGGCGGGACACGUGACAUCCUGUCUGAAUAUGGGGGGACCAUCCUCCAAGGCUAAAUACUCCUGACUGACCGAUAGUGAACCAGUACCGUGAGGGAAAGGCGAAAAGAACCCCGGCGAGGGGAGUGAAAUAGAACCUGAAACCGUGUACGUACAAGCAGUGGGAGCACCUUCGUGGUGUGACUGCGUACCUUUUGUAUAAUGGGUCAGCGACUUAUAUUUUGUAGCAAGGUUAACCGUAUAGGGGAGCCGUAGGGAAACCGAGUCUUAACUGGGCGACUAGUUGCAAGGUAUAGACCCGAAACCCGGUGAUCUAGCCAUGGGCAGGUUGAAGGUUGGGUAACACUAACUGGAGGACCGAACCGACUAAUGUUGAAAAAUUAGCGGAUGACUUGUGGCUGGGGGUGAAAGGCCAAUCAAACCGGGAGAUAGCUGGUUCUCCCCGAAAGCUAUUUAGGUAGCGCCUCGUGAACUCAUCUUCGGGGGUAGAGCACUGUUUCGGCUAGGGGGCCAUCCCGGCUUACCAAACCGAUGCAAACUCCGAAUACCGAAGAAUGUUAUCACGGGAGACACACGGCGGGUGCUAACGUCCGUCGUGAAGAGGGAAACAACCCAGACCGCCAGCUAAGGUCCCAAAGUCAUGGUUAAGUGGGAAACGAUGUGGGAAGGCAUAGACAGCCAGGAUGUUGGCUUAGAAGCAGCCAUCAUUUAAAGAAAGCGUAAUAGCUCACUGGUCGAGUCGGCCUGCGCGGAAGAUGUAACGGGGCUAAACCAUGCACCGAAGCUGCGGCAGCGACGCUUAGGCGUUGUUGGGUAGGGGAGCGUUCUGUAAGCCGUUGAAGGUGGCCUGUGAGGGUUGCUGGAGGUAUCAGAAGUGCGAAUGCUGACAUAAGUAACGAUAAAGCGGGUGAAAAGCCCGCUCGCCGGAAGACCAAGGGUUCCUGUCCAACGUUAAUCGGGGCAGGGUGAGUCGACCCCUAAGGCGAGGCUGAAAAGCGUAGUCGAUGGGAAACAGGUUAAUAUUCCUGUACUUGGUGUUACUGCGAAGGGGGGACGGAGAAGGCUAGGCU
rnacentral:rRNA from 1 species